GGAAGAUAUAGCCUAGCGGCGAACGGGUGAGUAACACGUGGGUAACCUACCUGGAAGACAGGGAUAACGAUUCGAAAGGGUCGCUAAUACCUGAUAAUAUCUAACAGUCGGAUGGCAGUUAGAAGAAAGGGGAAACCCGCUUUCAGAUGGGCCCGCGUCCCAUCAGCUAGUUGGUAAGGUAAAGGCUUACCAAGGCGACGACGGGUAGCCGGUCUGAGAGGAUGUACGGCCACAUUGGGACUGAGAUACGGCCCAGACUCCUACGGGAGGCAGCAGUUGGGAAUCUUAGGCAGUGGGCGAAAGCCUGACCUAGCGACGCCGCGUGAGGGAAGAAGGCCUUCGGGUCGUAAACCUCUGU
rnacentral:rRNA from 1 species